CUCGAAUUAUGAUUAAUUUAUAUGUUUUGUCGCUUUACGAAAAGGUGAAAUUGGAUUCACAAGCUAAAUACCAUUUUUCAAUAAUCAACCCAUCAUAAUACUUUGAGUUUAUAUAAAUAGGAAGUGUAAAGUUUAUAAAGGUGCACAUUCUAUUAUCCAUCAAAAGGGCAUAUCCUACCCAGACCAAAUCUGAUAUUAGAUCAACUUGCCCUUAAAUAUAGACCUCUCAACACUCUACUCCAUUCAGUUUAUAGAAAAUAUUGUACAUAUUCUCCAAUACUAAUAUAACAACAUACUAUAUUUAACAAAAAAGAUAUAUCUUAUAAAUUUUAUUCCUUUAAAAUAUUAGGCUGAUUGGUUAAAUUAUUUUUUAUUAACAUAUUAUAUAAUUCCAAAUUUAUACUAACCUGUCUUUAUUUUAUUUAAAAUUAAUGGGUAUAAAUUUGUAACUAUAUAUAGCUUU